rnacentral:tRNA from 3 species
UGCGUGGUGGAGCAGUGGUAGCUCGUCGGGCUCAUAACCCGAAGGUCGGCGGUUCGAGUCCGUCCCUCGCAU